rnacentral:rRNA from 1 species
AACGAACGCUGGCGGCAGGCCUAACACAUGCAAGUCGAGCGGACCCUUCGGGGUUAGCGGCGGACGGGUGAGUAACGCGUGGGAAUAUGCCCUUCUCUACGGAAUAGUCCUGGGAAACUGGGGGUAAUACCGUAUACGCCCUUUGGGGGAAAGAUUUAUCGGGGAAGGAUUAGCCCGCGUUGGAUUAGGUAGUUGGUGGGGUAAUGGCCUACCAAGCCGACGAUCCAUAGCUGGUUUGAGAGGAUGAUCAGCCACACUGGGACUGAGACACGGCCCAGACUCCUACGGGAGGCAGCAGUGGGGAAUCUUAGACAAUGGGGGCAACCCUGAUCUAGCCAUGCCGCGUGAGUGAUGAAGGCCUUAGGGUUGUAAAGCUCUUUCAGCUGGGAAGAUAAUGACGGUACCAGAAGAAGAAGCCCCGGCUAACUCCGUG